UACAGAGGUGGCAAGCGUUGUUCGGAAUUACUGGGCGUAAAGGGCGAGUAGGUGGCCAUCUAAGUCAGACGUGAAAUCCCUCGGCUUAACCGGGGAACUGCGUCCGAUACUGGAUGGCUUGAGUAUGGGAGAGGGAUGCGGAAUUCCAGGUGUAGCGGUGAAAUGCGUAGAUAUCUGGAGGAACACCGGUGGCGAAGGCGGCAUCCUGGACCAUUACUGACGCUGAGGAGCGAAAGCCAGGGGAGCAAACGGG
rnacentral:rRNA from 1 species